rfam:Trametes pubescens strain FBCC735 TRAPTBscaffold_372, whole genome shotgun sequence.
GGCCGCCUGGCGAAAUGGCAUCGCGUCUGACUACGAUCCUAUGUUCCCUCAGGGGUCCAAGGUGAUGAUCAGGAGAUUGCAGGUUCGACCCCUGCGGUGGUCA